AUCCAGCUGAUGAAUCCCGAAUAGGACGAAACGCACGUCCUGGAU
rnacentral:hammerhead_ribozyme from 1 species